rnacentral:rRNA from 1 species
GUGCCAGCCGCCGCGGUAAGACAGAGGGUGCAAACGUUGCUCGGAAUUACUGGGCGUAAAGCGCGUGUAGGCGGACCGGAUAGUCAGGCGUGAAAUCCCUAGGCUCAACCUAGGAACUGCACCUGAAACUCCCGGUCUUGAGUGGUGGAGAGGAAAGCAGAAUUCCUGGUGUAGAGGUGAAAUUCGUAGAUAUCAGGAGGAACACCGGUGGCGAAGGCGGCUUUCUGGACACUUACUGACGCUGAGACGCGAAAGCGUGGGGAGCAAACAGGAUUAGAUACCCUUGUAGUCC